rnacentral:tRNA from 1 species
UCAGUAGUAGUUCGUGGUAGAAUUCUCGCCUUCUGUGCGGGAGACCCAGGUUCGAUUCCCAGCCACUGCA